UGUAUAAGAGGUCCUACCUGCCCAGUGACAAUAAGUUAAACGGCCGCGGUAUUUUGACCGUGCUAAGGUAGCGCAAUCACUUGUCUUUUAAAUGAAGACCUGUAUGAAUGGUGGAACGAGGGCUUAACUGUCUCCCUUUUCAGGUCAGUGAAAUUGAUCUACCCGUGCAGAAGCGGGUAUAAGCAUACAAGACGAGAAGACCCUUUGGAGCUUAAGACACAAGGUCAACUAUGUCAAAAGUUCCUCUAAAUGAAAACGAAACAAAAUAUUAACUGACCAAAGUCUUCGGUUGGGGCGACCGCGGGGGAAAACAAAGCCCCCAUGUGGAAUGGGUUAAAACCUAAAGCCAAGAGGGACACCUCUAAGUCACAGAACAUCUGACCAAAAGAUCCGGCACCUAAGCCGAUCAACGAACCAAGUUACCCUAGGGAUAACAGCGCAAUCCCCUCCAAGAGUCCAUAUCGACAAGGGGGUUUACGACCUCGAUGUUGGAUCAGGACAUCCUAAUGGUGCAGCCGCUAUUAAGGGUUCGUUUGUUCAACGAUUAAAGUCCUACGUGAUCUGAG
rnacentral:rRNA from 1 species